rnacentral:misc_RNA from 1 species
AAGUCGUAACAAGGUAUCCGUAGGUGAACCUGCGGAUGGAUCAUUAACAAAAAAGUGCUUCAAUGAAAAUUAUGAUGAAUCUCGUCGUCUGGGGAACGAUAAAGGUUCAUUCUUCUUGUUGAGCACUAUAAUAUUUUUAUUAGGCGCCGUUUGAAAACGUUCGGCGUAAUUUCCCCCCUUCUUGGAGUCUGAUAAGGGAUAGUGGAAUAGAUUGUCUAUGAAACUAUUCUUUUAUUAGUACUCUGGGGAAGAACCAUUGACGUGUUUAUUAUACAAUGCAAGUUGUAUUGUAUAGUAAGCACAUUUCUGACUCUUAGCAGGGUCAAUAUUUUAUAUAGGUUGUUGGCAUAUUCCAAUACCAGCAAUAAUUUAUCUGUCAUAGCGACUGAAAAUUUGAAUUAAUCAAACAUAACUGUUAGCAACGGAUCACUCGGCUCUU